rnacentral:rRNA from 1 species
GAUGAACGCUAGCGGGAGGCUUAACACAUGCAAGUCGAGGGGCAUCACGAGGUAGCAAUACUUUGGUGGCGACCGGCGCACGGGUGAGUAACACGUAUGCAACCUUCCCUGUACAGGGGGAUAACCCGGAGAAAUUCGGACUAAUACCCCAUGAUGAUAUUAUGGGGCAUCCUUUAAUAUUUAAAGCUCUGGCGGUACAGGAUGGGCAUGCGCGACAUUAGCUAGUUGGUAAGGUAACGGCUUACCAAGGCGACGAUGUUUAGGGGACCUGAGAGGGUUGUCCCCCACACUGGUACUGAGACACGGACCAGACUCCUACGGGAGGCAGCAGUGAGGAAUAUUGGUCAAUGGGCGCAAGCCUGAACCAGCCAUCCCGCGUGCAGGAAGACGGCCCUAUGGGUUGUAAACUGCUUUUCCAGGGGGAGAAACUUGCGUACGUGAUACGCAAUUGACGGUACCCUGGGAAUAAGCAUCGGCUAACUCCGUGCCAGCAGCCGCGGUAAUCUGU